GACGAACGCUGGCGGCGUGCUUAACACAUGCAAGUCGAACGAAGAGCGAUGGAAGCUUGCUUCUAUCAAUCUUAGUGGCGAACGGGUGAGUAACGCGUAAUCAACCUGCCCUUCAGAGGGGGACAACAGUUGGAAACGACUGCUAAUACCGCAUACGAUCCAAUCUCGGCAUCGGGACUGGAUGAAAGGUGGCCUCUAUUUAUAAGCUACCACUGAAGGAGGGGAUUGCGUCUGAUUAGCUAGUUGGAGGGGUAACGGCCCACCAAGGCGAUGAUCAGUAGCCGGUCUGAGAGGAUGAACGGCCACAUUGGGACUGAGACACGGCCCAGACUCCUACGGGAGGCAGCAGUGGGGAAUCUUCCGCAAUGGACGAAAGUCUGACGGAGCAACGCCGCGUGAGUGAUGACGGCCUUCGGGUUGUAAAGCUCUGUUAAUCGGGACGAAUGGUUCUUGUGCGAAUAGUGCGAGGAUUUGACGGUACCGGAAUAGAAAGCCACGGCUAACUACGUG
rnacentral:rRNA from 1 species